CUCCUGUCUAACGACGGGCCAUUCUGGGAUGUUAGAUGGUUCCUCAUCCUGAUGUUAGAUGGUUCCUCACCCUGACUGUAGUCUACAGGAGAAACUGGGAUGUUAGAUGGUUCCUCAUCCUGACCGUAGUCUACAGGCCAGGAGAAACUGGGAUGUUAGAUGAUUCCUCAUCCUGACCGUAGUCUACAGGCCAGGAGAAACUGGGAUGUUAGAUGGUUCCUCAUCCUGACCGUAGUCUACAGGCCAGGAGAAACUGGGAUGUUAGAUGGUUCCUCACCCUGACCGUAGUCUACAGGAGAAACUGGGAUGUUAGAUGGUUCCUCAUCCUGACUGUAGUCUACAGGCCAGGAGAAACUGGGAUGCUAGAUGGUUCCUCAUCCUGACUGUAGUCUACAGGAGAAACUGGGCUAAUAAAUUAGAGUUGAUUCAACUGUAUUUAAUUAUUUAGUUUGACUUCAAGGUGAUUUGCCCUUUUUAAAUGGCAGCGGCCAGCUAUAGGAGGAGUCUUGGUGGUUCCAAUCUUCUUCCAUUUCAGAAUGAUGGAGGCCACUGGGUUCUUG
ensembl:lncRNA